GUUCGCCUUAUUGUUCGUGGGUCCUUAUCUUCAGCAAGGACUUAAUUUGUUUCUUGAAACCCAGGGCCCUAGGCCUAAGCCUAUGCUAGGCAUCAUAGGCCCCUCAAUCAACGUGGUUUGUUUCCACAGCCAGCCCAGGAGCAUCAUCCCCAUCAUGCCUAUGCUAGGCCUAGUCUAGUCAUUAUAGCUUCAUAUUCAACUAUCCGUGGUUGAAUAAACUUGAAUUUAACAUUUGGUGUUGAUCAUCAGAGGAACGCAGCUUGUGCCAAGACUGUGCUGUUAUGAUUGGUCCAUGACAGAGAAGGCCACACCAGGACCCCUACAGUGAUUGCCUUUUAUUUUGGUUUACUGAAAUAGCAGCAAGCAUGUGUAUAGAAGGAUCACAAUUCACUGCUGGGUAUUGUGAGAAUGUGCAUUGCCCCAUGACCAAGCAAGACGCCAUGGAAACAAGCUGGGUUAUCGUUUUCUUUUAUACUCUUGUGAAUUCACUUGCAUUGAAGAAUGAAAAUAAUAAAAAUGUAUGGGAGAAGGAUUGAAACACGGACAGGAGACUUCAAGACAAGGAAGCACUAGAAAAAUGCUACAAUGAUUGUCGUAAAUGCUGUCAUCCUGUACAUUCGCCGCUAGCUGAACGUCAGUCUGGUUGCCAGUUGAAGUUGUGUAGACCUUCAGAAACCAGACUAAAAACAAGAUGGCAGCUGAUGUUUUUGAUUUGGAGGACCAAGACUUGUAACAGCUGGUGGGAUUGUGGCAAAGGCUGUUCUAGCGAUAAAAAAUAAGUGUGUGUAUUGUCUGGUAUAAAAGGAUAACUUUUCUGAACAACUUCUGUGGAGUCGUAUUGCAAGCUAGACACAAUUGAACAUCAUGCAUGAUCGACACGUUAUGAGCAUCAUCUAGCAACGUCAUCCAAACAAUUGCAGAUUUCUGCAUUAAAAGAUCUUCAAUUAAAUUUAUGAAAAAAUAUAGUUUUCUUGCGCUUUAUUCAUGAGCACUUAUCGAACUAUAAUCCACUACAGUGCUUUAAAGCAAGUAGUCUCACAGAUGGUCUUAAUGAUCACGCAUAGCAACUUUGCUCUGCAGCUCAUUUCAAAAUGAAUUGAUAAUGCUUCAAGAUACCAGCUCCAAAUAUUGGUUCCAAGAAGAACCUAGCAAAUGCGAGAAUCUGAUCCAUGCAACGCAACAAGGACACAAUCACAAGUUUAGCUCGCUCAGGAUUCAUGAAUGGCAUCUCUCUCUCCAGGACGCCGUACAUAAACUACGCCACUAAGCAUCACAUGACCAAUAAUAGUUUUGGGUUGUAAAGUGCAACCCAAACAAUGUACCCUUAAUACAGUGUAGAGGUGUUAACUGAAUGGGUUGGCCAUAGUUUUGUAGAUACUGUAUACAGUAGUAUAAUAAUACAUGGUCUAAAAAAUUGUCUCCUUAAUUGAAGUGUCCUAACAGAGGGGUUCUAAUGUAUUGGCAUUCAUCAGCAAUAUGUAAAUAAUUUUUAAAUUCCCAGACUUUCCCUAAUAGUGGGCUACCUGUUUCGUCAGCACACCUAUUCCCAAGCUAAAAUAGCCAAAACCUUGUUCAAAACAAUUGAAUAAUUUUUUUUAGGCAAAAAAUCCCUUCCCAAUAAUCGGUCUUAUAUGAUAUAAACUAAAGCUGCAAUCGUAAUGGAUUUCGAAUCCUAUAUCCUCCUCCUGUCGUCCGACUCUGAGACGAGGUGAAAAAUACUUUCCCUAUCAAAAUGCAGUUAUUUUUAUUGCUAAUCCAUAAUAUUAAUAUUGUGAUCUACUAAAAAUAUUGUGAAAGCGGUUUGGCGCAGCAGGUUUGGUUUCCAAACCUCUAGGUCAGAGUUUCAAUCCCACACUGCAUUAUAAAUGGGUACCUGGUGGGGUUGCCUGCUACUACGCCAAUAUGGCAGCAACACUUACACAUGUGGCCCCAAUGACCAGGCAAAAACCAAGUUCUUUGUAACCUAAAUGAAUAGGUGCUACAAAAAUGACAAAUAACUAGAAGACUCCACAUGAACAUCACCAGGGAUUUUUAUUUCGGGAUCUAGUCGGCCUCUUGAUUCAGAACGCCCGGUCGGCAAAUUUCUGGAGCAACCGCUGCCGAGAUCAUAGUAAACAUUCCAAUGGAGAAUCUUAUCACUGUCCACAUUUUGAUUUUUCAAAUUUAGUAAAGUUUUACCAUAACCAUAACAUGCUUAAUAAGGGCACUAACUUGUGAUCUUUACUUUUGCUUUACGACUGCUGAUAGCUAGCUGUCAAAGCAAUGUGCGCUUUUUCCAAAACAACUCACUGAGAUGCAAUGGCCAAUAAAGAUUAUGCCAGUGAA